rnacentral:rRNA from 1 species
UACGACUACAUAUCAGGCAUAUCAAUAAGCGGAGGAAAAGAAACUAACAAGGAUUCCCUUAGUAACGGCGAGUGAAGCGGGAAGAGCUCAAAUUUGAAAUCUUCAAGGUUCUACCUUGACGAAUUGUAGUUUAAAGAAGUGUUUUCUGUUAGAGGAGUAGCAAAAGUUCCUUGGAAUGGGACAUCAUAGAGGGUGAGAAUCCCGUAUUUGGUUAUUCUUUCUAGCUUUGUGAUACACUUUCAAAGAGUCGGAUUGUUUGGGAAUGCAGUCCUAAAUGGGUGGUAAAUUUCAUCUAAAGCUAAAUAUUGGCGAGAGACCGAUAGCGAACAAGUACCGUGAGGGAAAGAUGAAAAGAACUUUGAAAAGAGAGUUAAACAGUACGUGAAAUUGUCAAAAGGGAAGCGUUUGACACCAGUGUUGUUUUUCCGAAAAUCAAUUAAGAGGGCCUGAUUUUGUGUUGUAUUGACCUUAUCAGCUUUCUUCACUCUUUUUCGAGUCUUUCUUAAUGCACUUUUCGGUUAACAAGUCAACAUCAAUUUCUUUUGUUGUAAAAGGGUAUUUGGAAGGUGGCUUUCUUUUCGGAGAAAGUGUUUAUAGCCUUAUACCUCUACAAUCGGAGAGAUUGAGGUCUGCAGCGUAGAUCCUUCGGGGCUAGAUACACUUGUGCUAAGUUAUAGCUUUUCAUAGACAACUUGUUGACUAUGUUUAGUCAUGUAGCUUACCCGCUUGUGCUAUUUUACCUACGCUUAGGAUGUUGAUCUACAGAGCGAGAG